rnacentral:lncRNA from 1 species
AUCAGAUGACGAAGUAGAAGAAGAAGAGGAGGAGCAAUACGACGACGUUUCCGACCACCCUACUUCUUCUUCAGGUACUCAACGCAAAACCCUAACCCCGACCUCUAUCUCAGCUUCUCUUGAUGAGGUUGAUGCGAAGCUCAAGGAUCUCAAGCUCAAGUACCCUUCUCAGAGCCCUGAUUUGCCCAAUGCUGUCAAGCUCUACCUUCACAUCGGUGGCAACGCCCCCAAAGCGAAAUGGAUUGUUUCCGAGAAAAUUGCCUUCUAUUCCCUCGUGAAGACGUG